CCUACCUCAUGAUCCACCCACCUCAGCUUCCCAAAGUGCUGGGAUUACAGGCAUGAGCCACUGCUCCCAGCCUGGCUGAGAAGCAAUUCUAAGCCACCACACAGAGUUGCAAAACCAUAAAACAAUUAGCAAUAACUCUGCCAUCAAACAGUUAAUUACCAGGGAGUGUAAAUAUGUGCUCAAGGCUCCAACUUACAGACUAAUAGGAGUUUUGAAGCUUGCCGUUUUUUGAAGGCUUAUACAAAAUAGUUUCCUGCAAACUCAAGUGGCUGGGAAGCCCAGCUGAAGGUUACUUCUACCCCAAGGCCAUGUCAGCAGAAAGUGGCCAACAGGACUUGGGCCUGAAAAAGCUCAGACUGAAUUUUAGGAGUGACAUCUGAAACUGCUGGUUUCUCACAAGGAAUAAAAGCUGUCUGGGAAGCUGGAGAGGCAGUGUGCUGUCUGGAGCAGGGACUUGCAAAUGGGAACAGUGAAGAGAGACAGCAUCUCCUUCCUCUGAAGAUUCUGUUCAGAAUGGAUAAAGGUUCAGCAUCCUCCCUGGAUGGGGCAGCUUAGCAGGCAAGAAAGAAGUCAACUGAGUUUCUUCUAGAGAAAUUAUAGAAAGAAAGAAAAAGAAAGAAAGAAAGAAAGAAAGAAAGAAAGAAAGAAAGAAAGAAAGAAAGAGGAAGGAAGGAAAGAAAGAAAGAAGAAAGAAAAAGAAAGAAAGAAAGAAAGAAAGAAAGAAAGAAAGAAAGAAAGAAAGAAAGAAAGAAAGAAAGAAAGAAAGAAAGGGAAAGAAAGAAAAGUUGACUGAGACAUGGCCCAUUCCCUCCCUGGGACCAGCCUCUUCUUUCCAGCUCAAGGGUCAAGACAGUGUCCCCAGGAAGAAGCAAAGGCUGUGUUUUCCACACUCUUAUCUAGAGGUGAGCUGGCAGAAGCUCCUCCCAGACUGCAUCUAUCAGACAGGGAGACAAUAACUGCUUGGGUGAGGAACAAAGGGAGGAGACACCAACUGUCCCCACUAAUGACAGAAGAUGUGGCAGCCUGAAGCCCUAAUAUUGGCUGUGGCCCUUUAAGAUCCCUCCCCACUUAACUGUAACACCCCCCUUCUCCAGGAAACUGGCAAGGACCCUUGGCACUGUUGGCCAGCGCUCUUGGAGACAGCCAGGACGGGGUUGGCAGGACUGCCUACACUGCUUUGAAAAUAUUUAACAAUAGGUAACUUUGGCAUUUCGAGAAGGUCUUGGAUCACAGGAGUUGUGGAGGCCCUGGGAGAUGUAGAAAAGACAUAGUGAAAGCUUUUGUUUUGCCCGGAAGGAAAACAUGUGGAUGUCUCAGUCAGCUCAGACUUCUAUUUGGCUGAUGGGGAAGUCAGGGAGAGCUUGAGUGUUCACAGAAUGCCACCUCUACCUUGUAGCUGCCACGCGGAAUCGUUCAAUCUCUCAUCUGACAUCACCUUCACAGAUUCAGUUUCAUUCGCAAGGAAGACACUGACCAAAAAAAAAAAAAAAAAAAAAAAAAACAGAAGUAACUUUCCUUUAAAGGGCUCCAAACCUCCUGCUACCAAAAACUAGAAUUCUUGGUCUCUCUGGUUUACUGUCCCCCCAACCCAAGUUUGUCCCCCCCUCCCAGACAUCCACAUGCUUUCCUUGAGGUCAGGAGUGAUCCUCCCACCUCAGCCCCCUGAGUAGCUGGGACUACAGGCGAUGCCACCAUGCCUGACUAAUUUUUAAAAAUUUUUUAUAGAGAUGGGGUUUCAUCAUAUAGCCCAGGCUGGUCUUGAACUCCUGAGCUCAAGUGACCUGCCUACUUCUGACUCCCAAAGGCUUGAGAUUACAGGCGUGAGCCACCACACAUGGCCUAGUUUUAUUAUUUAAUUUUUUUUUUAAGAAUAGGGAUUUGCUGUGUUGCCCAACCUGGUCUCUAAUUCCUGGCUUCAAGUGAUUUUUCUGCCUUGGCCUUCCAAAGUGCUAGGAUUAUAAGCAUGAGCCACCACACCUGGCCCCAGUUAAAUUUGAAUUUCACAUACACAGGAAAUGAUAUUUUAUUUUAUUUUAUUUUUAAUUUGUUUUAUUUUGAGACAGUCUCACUCUAUCACCCAAGCUGGAGUGCAAUGGUGCAGUCUCGGCUCACUGACUGCAACCUCCGCCUCCUGGGUUCAAGCAAUUCACCUGCCUCAGUCUCCAGAGUACCUGGGACUACAGGCAUGCUCCAACAACCCCGGCUAAUUUUUGUAUUUUUUGUAGAGACAGGGUUUUACCACGUUGGCCAGGCUGGUCUUGAAUUCCUGACCUCAAGUGAUCCACCCACCUCAGUCUGCCAAAGUGCUGGGAGUACAGGUGUGAGCUACCGCUCCCAGCCAAGGAAUGAUAGUUUAGUGUAAAUAUGUACAUCCAUUCAAGGGAAUAAAAGUCAAGUUAGCAAAGAUGAGUCAUAAAAUAAUGUUAUUACAGUUUUGUGAUCGCUCAGGAAACAAGUAAUAUAAGCAUAAAACAUUAUGAAUUUACUAUACUAUUAUUAUUUUAUUUUUAUUGAUAUUAAUUGAAUCUUAGUAGACUAAAAUGAUACAGGUAUUAACCAAAGACAUGAACAAACAUAGAGUGUGAGAUGUUAGAGACCGCAACACACAUAGGUUAUGUUGCAGUGCAGCACUAAGAAUGAAUGUCUGUGUGUAGUAUAUAUUAAUUCUUUUCCCCAUAUGAUUUUCUAGAGCUGGAGGGAUUAAAAAUAGGUCUAUGAGGCCGGGCAUGGUGGCUCACGCCUGUAAUCCCAGCACUUUGGGAGCCCAAGGCGGGGAGAUCACUUGAGGUCAGGAGUUCGAGACCAGCCUGGCUAACAUGGUGAAACCCCAUCUCUAUUAACAAUACAAAAAAUUAGCAGGAUGUGGUGGCACCAGCCUGUAGUCCCAGCUACUCAGGAGGCUGAGGCAGGAGAAUCAUUUAAACCUGGGAGACGGAGGUUGCAAUGAGCUAAGAUUGCACCACUGCACUCCAGCCUGGGCAACAGAGCGAGACUCCAUCUCAAAAAGAAAAAAAAAAAAUUUGCCUUUUCUCUCUGAGCACUUUCAGAAUUUUCUUUUUCAACAACAACAACAACAAAAAUAGCAUACCAAGGAUAGGAAUAAUUGAAGAAAUGUGCAAGAUGUAUGCAAAGAACAUUGUAAAAUCUUACCGAAGUUCACCAAAGACUUGAACUUGUAUUUUCUCUCAAUCCUCAUCACAGUGCUUCAAGGUGGAUAUCAUUUUAUCUUUCUGCACUCAGAAAGAUUAAAUAAAUUGCUCAAGUCCACAGAGCAGCAAAGCUGCAAUUUAAACCAGAUUCUCACAUUUGUGCUCCGUAUGGUAACUCCUGCUAGCCCCAAGGAACUGAUAUAAGUUAAUGAAGUAACCAAAUGUGACUUUAUUACUUUAUUACUUUAUUAUUUACUUAAUUAUUAUUACUUUAUGUCAAGAUUAUUCCUACACGCACAUGCUGGCUCACAAAUUAUAGGUUUCUCCUUGGUUGUAAAAAUCGCAUGAGUCAUAUUUGUGGCAAGAAUCAUGUAACAGUGCAAGGAAAUUUUGAGAUUUUUGGAGUAGAUGUUCCUCAGAUUCUGAAAUGCUCAGGUGAGAUAAGGAUGUGCCUCCGGGCCCUUGCACUUGCUGUUCCCUCUAUCUGGAAAGCACUUCCCCAGAUACUGGCAUAACUACCUUCCUCAUUUCUUCAAAUCUUUGCUUAGAUAUUGCCAUCACAAAGAGUUCUUUCCUGGCCACCCUACUUAUAAUUACAACCUCUUCUGGCUUUAUUUUUUCUCACAGUACUUAUCACUAUCUAGUGUAUGUAUAAUUUACAUUUUUAUUUUGUUUACUGUCUCCUCCUCAUCCUCUACCCACCCCUCUGCCCCCCAAAAAAAUGUUAGCUCCAGGAUAGAAGCAGAAUUUUGUCUUUUUGUUUUGCCAUCAG
rnacentral:lncRNA from 1 species